rnacentral:rRNA from 1 species
UUAAGCGACUAAGCGUACACGGUGGAUGCCCUGGCAGUCAGAGGCGAUGAAGGACGUGCUAAUCUGCGAUAAGCGUCGGUAAGGUGAUAUGAACCGUUAUAACCGGCGAUUUCCGAAUGGGGAAACCCAGUGUGUUUCGACACACUAUCAUUAACUGAAUCCAUAGGUUAAUGAGGCGAACCGGGGGAACUGAAACAUCUAAGUACCCCGAGGAAAAGAAAUCAACCGAGAUUCCCCCAGUAGCGGCGAGCGAACGGGGAGCAGCCCAGAGCCUGAAUCAGCUUGUGUGUUAGUGGAAGCGUCUGGAAAGUCGCACGGUACAGGGUGACAGCCCCGUACACGAAAGCACACAGGCUGUGAACUCGAAGAGUAGGGCGGGACACGUGGUAUCCUGUCUGAAUAUGGGGGGACCAUCCUCCAAGGCUAAAUACUCCUGACUGACCGAUAGUGAACCAGUACCGUGAGGGAAAGGCGAAAAGAACCCCGGCGAGGGGAGUGAAAAAGAACCUGAAACCGUGUACGUACAAGCAGUGGGAGCACGCUUAGGCGUGUGACUGCGUACCUUUUGUAUAAUGGGUCAGCGACUUAUAUUCUGUAGCAAGGUUAACCGAAUAGGGGAGCCGAAGGGAAACCGAGUCUUAACUGGGCGUUAAGUUGCAGGGUAUAGACCCGAAACCCGGUGAUCUAGCCAUGGGCAGGUUGAAGGUUGGGUAACACUAACUGGAGGACCGAACCGACUAAUGUUGAAAAAUUAGCGGAUGACUUGUGGCUGGGGGUGAAAGGCCAAUCAAACCGGGAGAUAGCUGGUUCUCCCCGAAAGCUAUUUAGGUAGCGCCUCGUGAAUUCAUCUCCGGGGGUAGAGCACUGUUUCGGCAAGGGGGUCAUCCCGACUUACCAACCCGAUGCAAACUGCGAAUACCGGAGAAUGUUAUCACGGGAGACACACGGCGGGUGCUAACGUCCGUCGUGAAGAGGGAAACAACCCAGACCGCCAGCUAAGGUCCCAAAGUCAUGGUUAAGUGGGAAACGAUGUGGGAAGGCCCAGACAGCCAGGAUGUUGGCUUAGAAGCAGCCAUCAUUUAAAGAAAGCGUAAUAGCUCACUGGUCGAGUCGGCCUGCGCGGAAGAUGUAACGGGGCUAAACCAUGCACCGAAGCUGCGGCAGCGACGCUUAUGCGUUGUUGGGUAGGGGAGCGUUCUGUAAGCCUGUGAAGGUGUACUGUGAGGUAUGCUGGAGGUAUCAGAAGUGCGAAUGCUGACAUAAGUAACGAUAAAGCGGGUGAAAAGCCCGCUCGCCGGAAGACCAAGGGUUCCUGUCCAACGUUAAUCGGGGCAGGGUGAGUCGACCCCUAAGGCGAGGCCGAAAGGCGUAGUCGAUGGGAAACAGGUUAAUAUUCCUGUACUUGGUGUUACUGCGAAGGGGGGACGGAGAAGGCUAUGUUGGCCGGGCGACGGUUGUCCCGGUUUAAGCGUGUAGGCUGGUUUUCCAGGCAAAUCCGGAAAAUCAAGGCUGAGGCGUGAUGACGAGGCACUACGGUGCUGAAGCAACAAAUGCCCUGCUUCCAGGAAAAGCCUCUAAGCAUCAGGUAACAUCAAAUCGUACCCCAAACCGACACAGGUGGUCAGGUAGAGAAUACCAAGGCGCUUGAGAGAACUCGGGUGAAGGAACUAGGCAAAAUGGUGCCGUAACUUCGGGAGAAGGCACGCUGAUAUGUAGGUGAAGUCCCUCGCGGAUGGAGCUGAAAUCAGUCGAAGAUACCAGCUGGCUGCAACUGUUUAUUAAAAACACAGCACUGUGCAAACACGAAAGUGGACGUAUACGGUGUGACGCCUGCCCGGUGCCGGAAGGUUAAUUGAUGGGGUUAGCGCAAGCGAAGCUCUUGAUCGAAGCCCCGGUAAACGGCGGCCGUAACUAUAACGGUCCUAAGGUAGCGAAAUUCCUUGUCGGGUAAGUUCCGACCUGCACGAAUGGCGUAAUGAUGGCCAGGCUGUCUCCACCCGAGACUCAGUGAAAUUGAACUCGCUGUGAAGAUGCAGUGUACCCGCGGCAAGACGGAAAGACCCCGUGAACCUUUACUAUAGCUUGACACUGAACAUUGAGCCUUGAUGUGUAGGAUAGGUGGGAGGCUUUGAAGUGUGGACGCCAGUCUGCAUGGAGCCGACCUUGAAAUACCACCCUUUAAUGUUUGAUGUUCUAACGUUGACCCGUGAUCCGGGUUGCGGACAGUGUCUGGUGGGUAGUUUGACUGGGGCGGUCUCCUCCUAAAGAGUAACGGAGGAGCACGAAGGUUGGCUAAUCCUGGUCGGACAUCAGGAGGUUAGUGCAAUGGCAUAAGCCAGCUUGACUGCGAGCGUGACGGCGCGAGCAGGUGCGAAAGCAGGUCAUAGUGAUCCGGUGGUUCUGAAUGGAAGGGCCAUCGCUCAACGGAUAAAAGGUACUCCGGGGAUAACAGGCUGAUACCGCCCAAGAGUUCAUAUCGACGGCGGUGUUUGGCACCUCGAUGUCGGCUCAUCACAUCCUGGGGCUGAAGUAGGUCCCAAGGGUAUGGCUGUUCGCCAUUUAAAGUGGUACGCGAGCUGGGUUUAGAACGUCGUGAGACAGUUCGGUCCCUAUCUGCCGUGGGCGCUGGAGAACUGAGGGGGGCUGCUCCUAGUACGAGAGGACCGGAGUGGACGCAUCACUGGUGUUCGGGUUGUCAUGCCAAUGGCACUGCCCGGUAGCUAAAUGCGGAAGAGAUAAGUGCUGAAAGCAUCUAAGCACGAAACUUGCCCCGAGAUGAGUUCUCCCUGACUCCUUGAGAGUCCUGAAGGAACGUUGAAGACGACGACGUUGAUAGGCCGGGUGUGUAAGCGCAGCGAUGCGUUGAGCUAACCGGUACUAAUGAACCGUGAGGCUUAACCUU